CGUGUAGUUGGAGGAGCUUUUAAAGAAAGAUGUCAUUUUACCCCCUUUAUUUUUGGACUGAUGUUAUUACAAUUCUUUAUUCAAUUUGGUAAUGAUGAACACAAUUGAUCAGGAAGAGGAGCAGAAGUUAAGAAAAGUUGCCCUCAAUAUUUCAAAGGAUGUAAAGAAAUUCGCUGGCAAGUCAUCUCCGGAACUUGCUUUACACUUUGAUUUGACUAAAUAUCUAGUUAUCAUGGUAGUGCAGGUGUUAUACAAGCAUCAGUUGGAGCUUGAUGUGAUAAAGAAGAAAGCUCUUGAUAAACAGCUUGAGUUCCUUCUAGCAAACUGACAGGUAUUAUUACUAUAUUAUAUGGGAACUUUUUGACUAUCUGCCUGAGAAUUUUAUGUGGAAAUAUCCCCAAGGAGGAUCAACAUCAUCAGGUACUCAUCAAUGCUGGCUGAAAAUCUUGUUAAUCCACCAAGUCUUUGCAAGCCAUCUUACUUAUAAAAUGCUGAAACAAACCCGAGUACUUCUGCAAGAAGAGGUGGCGAAUCAGAUAAUGGCAUGGGAUAAAAUUUUGAAAUUGGUCUAUUCUAUUGUGUUAUAGCUUGCUUGAGUUUUGAUCCUUUGAUAAUGCUAGGAUCCCAGUCAGAUAUCCCUGCUGCAGAUGCAGAUUAUGUUUUGCAAGCCAGAGAAAGUUUCAAAUCCAAAUACUGUCUAUCUUUCUUGGAGAUUUUAAGCAAUCUUUUCAAGUUUGUGUUGGA